GGUGAUGGGUCAGCUGUCCAAACUUAAGUCUCAUAUAGAGAGCUGAGCAGCUCUUCAGACCAGAAUGGAAGCUACAGCUGUAGCUUCCUCCUGCUGUCUGGAUCAUAAAGUGGCAGAGGCCUGUUGCUGUUCUGAUAGUGUGGCUAUUUCUGGAAGAAAGUAAGCUGGCCUCACCUAGGGCUGAUCCUCUGCACCUAUUUAGCAGCAUAAACCUAGCAGAUAGCUUGUUACGGAGAGCUCCAAUUCCAGAGGUCACAGCUGUUUUUACAUCUACAGCUGAGGCCAAAAGUAUUGCUGAAGAUUUCCAGUUUCAGCAGCCAGAGCAUCUCUUGGCGGAGUCAUGUUUAAGCCAGUAUCUACUCACCUUAAAUAAUAACAUAAAAUAUUCACGAGGUAGCAGCUUCUCUUUCUGUGUUUGGUUAGUAUUAAUACCUGCUCCCAAGUUACACUGUUUUGCGUCUUGAAAGCGUUACUAGCAAAACAAACAUUUGCUAUGGGAACAACUGGUGUUCAGUGUUAGCUAAAAUGACAAAGGAGAACAUUUACUCAGUAACUGAGAUGGGAUAGAAUGUGGAUACAGAGAUGACAGAAGUUAGAUUUUUGAAGUGUGAUAUAACACUUCAUCAAGCAGUGGAUUUUUGGGUCUCUUCCCUUUGGUUAGACGGAAGUUCACAUACUCUUACAGUGUGUUUUAUGUUUUUCUGUAGCUUGGAACAAGACCCUGCCUUGCUGGUUCCUGAAGGGACAGUGUCAGCCUCCCAAGAUCCUUUUCAGCAAAGUUCCAUGAGUUACUCUUAAGCCCCCAACCCAGCAUCCCUGCCCCCUGCUGAAGGCCGACAUCGCUGGGAGCACUGCAGCGCGCGGAAAACCACUUAAAGCGCUACAGCUUCUUCCCCCGCCUUUCUGUGAGCUUUUGGGUGAGGUGACAAAAUGCGAAGAAUUUACUCCUGAAUGGUGGUGGAAGACGCCUCUACAGCAGUGGGUUUGAUAGCUAAUGCCCCACCAGGUGCACAGAUCAGCUUCCUGUCCUCAAAUUAUGCUUCCAGGGGCUCUCUAGAGUACACUGCGUUGGUCACAUUUGGGCAUCAUCCACAAGUCCCAGGGGCCUUGUGCUCAUAAACUGGAAUUACUGUCAGCUGACUGUAGCUGCGGGAAUUGGAUAGAUGCCUUGGCUGCUAUGACUCUGCACAUCAGCAUUUUGUUCUGACACCUUCAACUGGUUUUGUUGUUCUGUGAAUCCCACUCAUGGUGAUUAGCCAGUAAUUCCCAGGGCAGCAGGAACAGGAAGGUUUAGGGAAUGUUAGCUAAAGGGAGACUAAGUCAUCUCUCUUGGACCUGCUACCUGACUCCAGAGGUCAAACUGAGAUAACAGGAUGCCUUGAAGGAUAUUGCAGUUCUGCAGAUGGCUUUGGUGGCAAAAGCCCAAAAGUGUCAAUAAAGCUUCCCUGACCUCAUUAAGGCAUACCCUGCUUACUGGUGGGCAGGGUUCAUAAACCUGAAUGAGCUGCUGGGUCCUUUGAACCAUCUGUGGAUGACGAUGGCCUGAUUACUAGAACUCCCUCAAAAGCAGCACUGAAGCAGGAGGAUUUCAUUAUUUUGCCCGAGGUAGAUAGUAAGAAAUGAUCCGUGGCACAUCCUAGCACAUAACCUAGGGCAACACAGAUUUAGGGCAGAAGAUUAAUGGCUUGAAAUCAGAAGCCAUCUUAGAACUGUUCAGUGAAUUUUUAGCAUGUUUUUAUUCCUUGUGUGCUGCAGAUAACCGCUACAAGCCUGCGAUUCCCAUGACAUGGGAGAAACACCACCCACCUCCCUCACAGGUUCACUGCGUGGCGUCGCUGGCAGACAUCUCGCAGAGAUGCAGGAUACAGGGGCAGGAAGGAUUUGCAAACAGCACAUUUAGUUUUGAUAACAUCUGGGUUUUGUUCUGUUUGCUUUAUUUCAAUUUCUUUUAACUGCACAAGAAAAGGAUAAGCAAACCAGCACAGGGAAAAUAAAUUCAGCAAAACCAUCAGGAUGCCACCAGGAAAUAUCAGCCCUGCUACUGCCUGCUGCUGAGUCAUUUAUGCUCGGCUGAGUUCCUCCGAGUCAAAGGGCUGCCUCUAUCUUGGACUUUCUUCUACAUCAGACCGAUUUGCUCUGGGACGAAGGCACCACAGUGAAUCCUAGUGACAAGAAGGGGUAGGAAAUUUUGUAACCUGCUUUUAAUUAGCUGUGUAGUGACUGAGCUGAUGAAUCCUCACUUGCUCUAGGCCAGCGACUUCUGUACUGCAGUGAUUGCAUUCUGCUCUGGAUAGCAGGAAGAAACGUGCAGGUUUGAAUGCAGUCGAACUCCCGUGGGAGAGCGCACUUUUGUUCAUUUGGAGGACUGUAUGGCAUUGUACGGGGGAUAUUGCAGGGAGAGAAGGAAAUAAGAGUGGUGCUGUAAGGAUAUUUCUGCAUCCUUCCCAAAGGAGAAAGGAAAAGAUUAUAGAUCCUUCCAAAACAUAUUAUGCUAAUAAAGGAAAAAGUACUACAAGCAGAAGUAUCUAUCCAAGCAGCCCAGGAAGCCAUCCACCACUACCAUCCAGGUAGGGAAGUGCAUAAAGGGAGUGAAAAUACAUGGAUCCUGUGUUUCUGCACUCAGAGCAACAUUAAUUGCAAGCUAUCAACUUACCUUCAAUAAAUUUGCUUAAUCUUUUUAUGAACUCAUUUAUCCUCCCUUAAUGUCCCAAGGAAAUGAGUUACAAAAUGUAAUUGCCUGUGACUUUUUUUCAACGUGUUACUUAAUAGGAUUUUAUUUUACUUGUAUUUAUAAUCCCAGUUCUAAUACUACUAGUGUAAAUGAAACCACUUUCAGUGGCAUGAAGGGUUCAAGACCAACAUUACAUUGCUGAAAUGAAGCUUGCACAUAUAAUAUACCUGAUUUCUGUCAAAUUCAUUCAUGGCAUCCUUGACACCCUGGAGGUAGGUAACGCCAGUAAUCCAGGUGUAGCGGGGUAUGUAUCCAGUGUAACCUGCAGAUGGAGAGAGAAUAUUUUCUGCUUAAGAACAUAUGUAAGGAUCAACCAAUUUGCAAGUGGAAGAGACUGGGAUAAAUAUAAGAUCUUGGCAAAUUAUAGGGAAGAAAACUUUUUAAAACUCUUCUGUUUACAUUGUAAAAUCAGAUAUUUCACAUGUAAGAGCUGUUUUGAAACUGUCUUUUUCAUGAUCCCAAAGAAAACUCUGAAGUGGGCUGAGGUGAUCCAUGGUUGGUCUCCAUGUGGUAUGGAAAAAAACACAUUUUAUUUUCUUACCAUGUUUUCUUUAAACCAAUAGCUCUGCCAAGCUCUCUUCCAAUUUAAUAAACAUGCAGGUGCUAACUA